rnacentral:rRNA from 1 species
CCAUUGUGGACGAACCUGACAGUUGCUUCGGCAGGUCGGCUUCCCGCCGCGCGGUGGCUCCUUGUGAGCCCGCCUGCCGGAGUCACAUAAACUCUUGAUUAUUGUUGACAUCUCUGAGUAAUUUACUUAAUAAGUCAAAACUUUCAACAACGGAUCUCUUGGUUCUGGCAUCGAUGAAGAACGCAGCGAAAUGCGAUAAGUAAUGUGAAUUGCAGAAUUCAGUGAAUCAUCGAAUCUUUGAACGCACAUUGCGCCCGCCAGUAUUCUGGCGGGCAUGCCUGUUCGAGCGUCAUUUCAACCAUCAAGCCUUAGGCUUGUGUUGGAGCCCUGCGGCUGUCCGCAGGCCCCUAAAUACAGUGGCGGGCUCGCUAUCACACCGAGUGCAGUAGUUUUCUUUCUCGCUCAGGGCGUGUAGUGGGUGCUAGCCGUGAAACCCCCUUUUCUCACAAGGUUGACCUCGGAUCAGGUAGGAAUACCCGCUGAACUUAAGCAUAUCAAUAAGCGGAGGAA